rnacentral:tRNA from 1 species
UCAUUUCUAGUUUAAUUCAUAGAAUGCCAAUUUGUCGUGUUGGUGGUGGUAAGUCUAUCGAAAUGGG